rnacentral:rRNA from 1 species
GGAAGUAAAAGUCGUAACAAGGUCUCCGUUGGUGAACCAGCGGAGGGAUCAUUACCGAAGUUACUCUUCAAAACCCAAUGUGAACCCUACCCCUCGCCGCGCGGUUGCCUCGGCGGGAGGGUCCGGAGGGGGGGCGACCCCCCAACGGCCCCGCCCGCCGGCCGCGCCAGACUCUUUACUCUGCAAAAAGCGUACUGCACGAAUCUGAUUCAGAUUUUGAAAAACAAGUCAAAACUUUCAACAACGGAUCUCUUGGUUCUGGCAUCGAUGAAGAACGCAGCGAAAUGCGAUAAGUAAUGUGAAUUGCAGAAUUCAGUGAAUCAUCGAAUCUUUGAACGCACAUUGCGCCCGGCAGCAAUCUGCCGGGCAUGCCUGUCCGAGCGUCAUUUCUGCCCUCGAGCGCGGUUUCGGUUUUCCCGGAGCCGCCGCCCGGUGUUGGGGCACUGCGGGCCCUUCCAGGCGCCCCGCAGGCCCCGAAAUGAAGUGGCGGUCCCGCCGCGGCGCCCCCUGCGUAGUAGUAUCUCACGCCUCGCAUCGGGUCCCGGCGUCGGCCAGCCGUCGAACCUAUUCACUUUUGAUGGUUUGACCUCGGAUCAGGUAGGGUUACCCGCUGAACUUAAGCAUAUCAAUAAGCGGAGGA